rnacentral:lncRNA from 1 species
AUGCCUUGUUUUUCAGACAUCGAUUUUAGCUUCUGUGCGACACAAGUUCCAGUCAAGGAGGGCUCUGGAGACCUCGGCUCUUCGGUAUAUGCACAGACCAGAGAGCCGUCACUUACAUCCUUGGCUGGAUACAUGUUAAUUUUUCAUUCACAAUCUCUACAUCCAAGCACCUUUUCAAAGUCAGACUUGGAUCCCUCGUGUUUCUCAGCAACCUCCUCCAGUGAGCUACAGUCAGUGCUGGCUGAAUAG